CUAGCGCUAAGGAUGCGAGAAUGGCUUAAAAUAAGGCUAGCUUUGUGUCAAAUGGAACGUGCCCUGAGUGCUUCAAGGCUGCCAGGAUAUGCGCUGGAAGAACAAGUCUGUGGACGUCAGGACCUAAUGGCCCUGAGAGUCACAUCCAUGGGCUAUACCCCGGACUCCAGAGUGACAAUUUUAGCAUGUGAACAAUUUGACAGGUCAAAUGCUACGAAAACGGUCAGUCCAUAUGUAUCCUCCAAAGCAUGCAAGGAUGUAAAUUUUUUUCAAAUAAUGUUCAGUUUUAAAUGGCGCGAUUACCACAUUUUCCGAACCCUGAUGAAUAAGCUGGACAGUCUUUUCGAAAAUCGUGAACAAUUACGACGAUGGCCUAGGUUAUCGUUGAGACAUACCCCGGAACAACAUAUGUUAUCGUUGAGACAUACACCGGAAGAACAACAAGUUCGAAGGCGGAUCUUUCCCUGGCAGGAAAGUGGACAGAGCUUCGACGGAGCGCGGAAAAGACUUUGUGAUGGGGAAUUGGAAACGGAUAAUGUUCAGGGCUAACAGGACCCCAUAUAUCUCCGACAUACAGCCCUUUAUGAUAAAGGAUGCGUUAUGGCCAGCUGACACGCAGGACUUUGAUGCAAUUCUACCGGCCCAAGUACACUGCUCAGAAUCAAGCCCACCCGAAAACUACUGUUGGGCCGGGAACUUGCUGCUUCACGAGCCGGCGCUCCAGGGACAAGACUGCCCGGAGACAGACCCAGCAGAAUCGGGAAAGCUAGAGG